rnacentral:rRNA from 1 species
UGGGGAAUUUUCCGCAAUGGGCGAAAGCCUGACGGAGCAAUGCCGCGUGGAGGUGGAAGGCCUACGGGUCGUCAACUUCUUUUCUCGGAGAAGAAACAAUGACGGUAUCUGAGGAAUAAGCAUCGGCUAACUCUGUGCCCG